rnacentral:rRNA from 1 species
AACUAACGCUGGCGGCGCGUCUUAAACAUGCAAGUCGUACGAGAACCCCGGUGCUUGCAUUGGGGGGAGAGUGGCGAACGGGUGAGUAACACGUGGAUAAUCUGCCUCCGGGAUAGGGACAACCAUUGGAAACGAUGGCUAAUACCAAAUAAUAUAAUCGUUACACAAGUAGUGAUUAUCAAAGGUGGGGACCGCAAGGCCUACCACCCGGAGAUGAGUCCGCGGCCCAUUAGCUAGUUGGCAGGGUAAAAGCCUACCAAGGCUACGAUGGGUAGCCGGCCUGAGAGGGUGAUCGGCCACAUUGGGACUGAGAUACGGCCCAGACUCCUACGGGAGGCAG